UACGUAGGGGGCGAGCGCUGCCCGGAAUCACUGGGCGUAAAGGGUACGCAGGCGGACCUGUAAGUCAGGGGUGAAAUUCCCAGGCUUAACUUCGGAGCUGCCGCGGAGACUGGAGGUCUGGGGUGCGGGAGAGGGGGGUGGAAUUCGGGGUGUGGCGGGGAAAUGCGUAGAUUUCGGGAGGAACAUCGGUGGGGAAGGCGGCCGCCUGGCCCGCUACCGACGCUCAGGUACGAAAGCGUGGGGAGCAACCAGG
rnacentral:rRNA from 1 species